rnacentral:rRNA from 1 species
AAUAUUGGACAAUGGGGGCAACCCUGAUCCAGCCAUGCGGCGUGUGUGAAGAAGGUCUUCGGAUUGUAAAGCACUUUAAGUUGGGAGGAAGGGCUUUAGGUUAAUACCAUGAAGUGCUGACGUUACCAACAGAAUAAGCACCGGCUGACUAUGUGCCAGCAGCCGCGGUAAUACAGAGGGUGCAAGCGUUAAUCGGAAUUACUGGGCGUAAAGGGCGCGUAGGUGGUUCAGUAAGAUGGGUGUGAAAUCCCCGGGCUUAACCUGGGAACUGCUUUCAUAACUGCGGAGCUAGAGUACGGUAGAGGGUAGUGGAAUUUCCUGUGUAGCGGUGAAAUGCGUAGAUAUAGGAAGGAACACCAGUGGCGAAGGCGACUACCUGGACUGAUACUGACACUGAGGUGCGAAAGCGUGGGGAGCAAAC